AAAGACGUUGGCAACUAGAAAUGGCAGCACAAGGGUUGAUGUUCAUGACAAGUUACCACCUCGAAAGGACUUGGAAGAUGUAAAACCAGUGAUAAGCCUGAGAAAAGGCAUGAUUAAGGUAGACAAACGACAAAGUGACUCUGCCCAACUAAAUCAUAAUUCUGGAAGUAGAAAAGAAAUUCAGGAGAGAAACCAUGAUAGCAUAAAGCACAGGGAGCAGAAGUACACUGAAAGAAGUGAAAUCAAGGGACCAGUUUUCAAGGAUGAGAUGCAACAGAUGAUACCAUAUAUGCAUAAAAGAUCAGAAUCUACACUUACAUUGCUAGAAAAGCCAGAGUACGGUGAAAGCAUGCUUCAUGGGGAAAAUAGUUCUGCUAACAAGCUUCGUCUAGGCAAUCAACAAAAGCUGCAAAAUAAUCAUGGAUUUCAACAGGUGCACAUGCUCCAGAAAUCUGAGCCUCAAGAGAAAAAGCGUCAACCAGAAGAAAGAGAACAAGAAAAACAGAAAUUGCAGGAGAAGAAACAAAAGAGACCUGAAUCAGUAUCUAGCAAUAUCUCCAAACUAAUGUCUGGUGCAACCGAUUUGCAAAAGAAGCAGCUGCAACUGAACCAAGCAGCAACUAGUAGGAAAGGCUCCA
rnacentral:lncRNA from 1 species